AUGUACUCGUACAGCUGCCUGGCAUCCAGGGAGGGCGUCUGGCCUCCACUGCAGCCCCUCACCUACACCUACCUGCCCGGCCCUCUGCUGCUGCCCCCCAUCCACGCCCACAGCUUCUGCAGCCGGUCCCCGAGGCUGACAGCAGACGAGUGGCCGGCUCCGCGGGAGUACCACUGCUUCCACGGCCCAGGCGCGCCCCCGGCGGCCGCGCCGCCCUCGUGGGCAUUCCCGCAGGCCUACGCCGCAGCCCUGCUCCUGCCCGCGCCCGGCUACCUGGGGCCAUCGCUACUAGGACCCGCGGCGGAGGGGGCGGCGGCUGCCCAGCGCGGGGCGCCAUGGCCCGAGGGCGGUAGCCUGCAGGCCGAGCUGCGCUGGGGCCGCGUGGAGCGCGCGCUGGGCCCGCGCCUCGAGCUGCCGGACGUGGUGCGCCGGGAGCUGCGGCGUGUGUACGGCACGUACCCGCGCACCGACGUGCGCGUCACCUACCGCGGUGGCCAGUUUCUGCUUCAGGCCGCGCCGCGCGUCCCCGAGCCCGAGUACCGUGUGCAGAGGCGCGUGCUGCGGCCUCCCGCCAGCAGCGAUAGCGGCGACAGUAGCCCGGCCGCGGAAGCGGCGGAGCGUGGCCGCCGGCGGAAGAGGAACGGCCGGAGCUGAGGACGCCGCAGGGCCCGGCGGCCGGCCCGGUCUGGCAGGACUCCAAAUUUGAUGCCCAGGCUGUACAAAUGAGGUUGCUUGUGGAAUUGCUUUUACUGAAUUUCCAUAUGUUCGAUGGACAACAGCUGCCUGGGUAUGCAGGAUAGCCAGAAAAGAUUUCUCUGAAGAGUGAUUCUUGAGUGGAGACCUCCUAAAGACCUUCACAAGCCAUUUGAAUACCUGGGGGAGAAAAGCAGGUACAACCACGCUGUGGCUGGAGUGUCCUUGUCCUGUGAGCAAGCAAGAAAGUUGCGGUUAAUGAGGUUAGGGAUGAAGCCAGAUCCUGUGACGCCUUGAAGCCAUGUUGAGAGUUUUGGAUUUUAUUCUUCGUGGGCAGAGUGUUAUAAGCAGGAGAGAAUGUGAUUGGAUUUUUUAAAUUAUUCUUUUUUUGUUUUUAUUUUUUUUUAAAAGAUUUUAUUUUAUUUAUGUGACAGAGAGACAGCCAGCG